UACAAUGCCACAGAUUUU
rnacentral:piRNA from 1 species